ensembl:snoRNA SNORD30 Small nucleolar RNA SNORD30
ACGGAUGAUGAUUAUCUUUUCGGAAUCUCGUUCGUCUGAAGCCCUGCUGACAAAUUAAGAUUACUGAUGUUA